UCGAUGGUAGGACGCAGCAGUGACAGGAUUGAUAGGGCGAGGAACUUCGGUGACAGGGCCAUCGACAAUGGCCGCAAUAGAUGGCUACCAGAGGGUGUAGCUAUGAUGAACAGAUUGAGCUACUACGACUCUAGGAAUUUUUUCGAUCAGCAUCGUGACAUGAGGCUUGACAUCGACAACAUGAGUUAUGAGGAACUGCUUGCCUUGGG
rnacentral:misc_RNA from 1 species